rnacentral:lncRNA from 1 species
UUUGAUAGAUACCCGAGAAAUUUGAGUAUCUUUGAUAGAUACUCGAGAAAAUAAGUUCAUGAUCUUAUAUGACCGCACAGCAAAAUUUUAAACCUUUUACUCUUGUGAGUGGUGAAUUGGGUAGUAUGUGAUAUGUGUGAAUGGUGUAAGCUAUUUGGUAUACGGUGUAAGGUGUAAGGUGAAUUUCGGGGACGAAAUUCUUAGAAGGAGGGGUGAAUGUGACAACCCGAGAAUUUAGACCAUUUAUUAAAAUCUUAAAUGAUUGUUUUGCUGCGGAAUCAAGUAAGACUGAGCAGAAUAACCUUUUAUAUAAAGGGAAUAUUUUAAUUUGAGUAUCUUUGAUAGAUACCCGAAAAAUUUGAGUAUCUUUGAUAGAUACCCGAGAAAUUUGAGUAUCUUUGAUAGAUACUCGAGAAAAUAAGUUCAUGAUCUUAUAUGACCGCACAGCAAAAUUUUAAACCUUUUACUCUUGUGAGUGGUGAAUUGGGUAGUAUGUGAUAUGUGUGAAUGGUGUAAGCUAUUUGGUAUACGGUGUAAGGUGUAAGGUGAAUUUCGGGGACGAAAUUCUUAGAAGGAGGGGUGAAUGUGACAACCCGAGAAUUUAGACCAUUUAUUAAAAUCUUAAAUGAUUGAUUUAAGGUCAAAUAUUAGACCUAGAUAGAAAAUAAGUGUAUGCGUUUGAUGUUAUUGGGAUUGAAUUUUGAGAAUUUCAAAAAUUCGGUGAAGGAUAUAGGUGAAUUAUUCAGGAUUAAGUGUUUAUGUGAUUAAGUUCUGUGUAUAUGGUUAAUGAUGUGUUCAGAAUGUGGUUAAGGGUCAAGGGUUGACCAGAUAAAUUAUAUCUGUGUCAAACCCUAAGAAUAUAUUAAGAACGACAAUGUUCGAUUAGAAAACCCUAACGUCUGAUAAGAAACCCUAGAAAUCGGUUCUGCAAACCCUAGUUUCAGUUCUGGGAAUCCGAAACCCUAAUUCGGUGCAUGAAACCCUAAAUCGGGAACUUAAUGGCAUAAGUGUAAAUAAUUAAAAGAUUAAUUANNN